AUAUAUCGAACUUGUCAUCCAAAAUUAUUAAUAAAUCUAGGUCUUUUUCUUAUGCGACUUUUUCAAAAUUCAAGUUGACAACACUGGACUACCUGCCGACGCAAGUCUAGUCUAGCUCUGGUGCUCGUGUGCGUUGCACGCGUUUAUCGUAACUUUGUCCGUGAUUUCCCCGGUUAUCGUUCCUUCAUCCACUCGCGAAUGAGAAAACCCCGCCUGAGCUGAUCUAUCAACCUGAAGGACUGAUUUUUGAUGGUUUUAGGGAUUUUGCUCCUGAGUUUGACAUUGUGGAUGGACCAUUCUGACAUCAGAAUGGAUUUUGCAUCUGAGUCUGACAUCGUAGAAGAACCAUUCUUGCAUCAGUUUGGAUUUUGCAUCUGAGUCUGAUGUCGUAGAAGAACCAUUCUUGCAUCAGUUUGGAUUUUGCACCUGAGUUUGACAUCGUAGAAGCACCAUUCUUGCAUCAGAUUGGAUUUUGCACCUGAGUCUGACAUCGUAGAAGGACCAUUCUUGCAUCAGAUUAAAUUUCAUUAUCUUAAAUAACUUAUGUGAUUAUUACACAAAUUGACUCCCAAAAUGUAUGCUUGUGUGUUUUCUUUAAUAAAGAAUAUUUUUAAGUUUUCCUAAUUAUAA